ensembl:misc_RNA Metazoa_SRP Metazoan signal recognition particle RNA
GCUGGGCAUGGUGGCGCAUGCCUGUAAUCCCAGCUACUUGGGAGGCUGAGGUAGGAGAAUUGCUUGAACCCAGGAGGCAGAGGUUGCAGUGAGCUGAGAUCACACCAUUGCACUCCAGCCUGGGUGACAGAGCAAGACUCCGACUCAA